rnacentral:rRNA from 1 species
GAUGAACGCUGGCGGCGUGCCUAAUACAUGCAAGUCGAGCGAACAGAUGAGGAGCUUGCUCCUCUGACGUUAGCGGCGGACGGGUGAGUAACACGUGGAUAACCUACCUAUAAGACUGGGAUAACCUCGGGAAACCGGAGCUAAUACCGGAUAAUAUAUUGAACCGCAUGGUUCAAUAGUGAAAGACGGUUUUGCUGUCACUUAUAGAUGGAUCCUCGCCGCAUUAGCUAGUUGGUAAGGUAACGGCUUACCAAGGCAACGAUGCGUAGCCGACCUGAGAGGGUGAUCGGCCACACUGGAACUGAGACACGGUCCAGACUCCUACGGGAGGCAGCAGUAGGGAAUCUUCCGCAAUGGGCGAAAGCCUGACGGAGCAACGCCGCGUGAGUGAUGAAGGUCUUCGGAUCGUAAAACUCUGUUAUUAGGGAAGAACAAAUGUGUAAGUAACUAUGCACGUCUUGACGGUACCUGAUCAAAAAGCCACGGCUAACUACGUG